rnacentral:rRNA from 1 species
AACGUAGGAAGGUUUUCGUAUCCUUACGGCUCACGGAUGAACGCGUAGCGGCAGGCUUAACACAUGCAAGUCGAGGGGCAUCGGAGGGAAGCUUGCUUCCUUGCCGGCGACCGGCGCACGGGUGAGUACACGUAUGCAACCUGCCUCUUCAGGGGGACAACCUUCCGAAAGGGAGGCUAAUCCCGCGUAUAUCGGUUUCGGGCAUCCGAGAUCGAGGAAAGAUUCAUCGGAAGAGGAUGGGCAUGCGGCGCAUUAGCUUGACGGCGGGGUAACGGCCCACCGUGGCGACGAUGCGUAGGGGUUCUGAGAGGAAGGUCCCCCACACUGGUACUGAGGCACGGACCAGACUCCUACGGGAGGCAGCAGUGAGGAAUAUUGGUCAAUGGGAGAGAUCCUGAACCAGCCAAGCCGCGUGAGGGAAGACGGCCCUAUGGGUUGUAAACCUCUUUUGUCGGAGAACAAAACCCGGGACGUGUCCCGGACCGCGUGUAUCCGAAGAAAAAAGCAUCGGCUAACUCCGUG